rnacentral:lncRNA from 1 species
UAUACAACCAAUAAUAAACUUCCUAAACAACAAUGGAGCACCACUUCUUGCUAAUGUGUAUCCGUACUUCGCUUAUAUUGGUGAUAAGGUAAACAUUCCUCUUGACUAUGCUCUUUUUAGACAACAAGGAAACAAUGCAGUUGGUUACCAAAACCUCUUUGAUGCCCAAUUAGACUCAGUAUACGCCGCUCUUGAAAAAGUUGGCGCUUCCGGUGUUAAGAUAGUUGUGUCUGAGAGUGGGUGGCCAUCUGCUGCUGGAGAUAGUGCCUCAACUGACAAUGCUGCCACAUAUUAUCGUAAUUUGAUCAAUCACGUCAAGAAUGGGACUCCUAAGAGACCCGGAGCAAUUGAGACUUACUUGUUUGCCAUGUUUGAUGAAAAUCAGAAGACUGGUGCAGCAACUGAACAACAUUUUGGUCUCUUUAAUCCUGACAAAUCACCUAAAUAUCAAAUAAGCUUCAAUUGAAUAAAUUGAUAAUCUAAGAAUGAUAUGCAAUAGCUAAAUAUUGUUCACUACAAAUAAUUGUGCCAUGUGUGCACAGGUUGUUUCCAUCUUUCUGUGUAUGUAAUGAAUUAAGUAAAGGUUAGGAGGUUGGACAAUCUUUAAUGUCAUUUAAGUACAUUUGAAUUGAAAUUUUCGGUGUCAUGAAGGGAAAUCGAAGAAAAGGGAAAUCCUCUUCUAUAUAUAAGUAAAAUAUUUUAUCUGGUUCAUUGCUUAAGAUCAUAGUUCGUCCGAGUUGUUGUUCACGAAGUCAAUAUGUAGUAUUGUUUAUAUCAUUCCAUAUAUAUAUGAUCAAGUUCAAAGCAUUCACCUAAAAAACUUAUUCACUAGAUCAAUUAUUUGUACAAGGAUCAACAUCAUAUCCUUAAUAAUUAAAGCAUCAAAGUCCAAUCCGCUAACUUAAUCAUCUGUCAAAUCAACUCAUUUCCGAACAUUUCUUCUACAUUAAUUUCUCUGGACCAAGUGAAUUGCAAAGGAGUCAAAAGUUCUUAAAGAUUUGAAGACAACAAUUGACUGAAGACAUGAACACAAACUUUAUAAGCCAAAUACAAAGAAAUGGUUGUACAAAUAUGAUUUCUCUUCUAAAAAGACAGAGAUAGCUAGAACAAACUACCAAUGAGAGGUACAAUCCAGAGGAGCCCACCAAACAACUAUUAUAGUUGUGCUCUCAAUAUAUUUUCUUACUAUUCAUAAAAAUGAUAGAGAAAGGCCCUUUAAAAGAAGAUUAAUUGGUAAAAGAAUAAAAAAUAAAACAAUCACCUUUAUAUGAUGUUGAAAACACUUACCUAAUGCCUAUUGGAGUUUACAAGGAGGGUAUAUAUAGAUUCAACUUAUUAUUACCAUUAGAAAAAACCAAGAUUAAAUGAAUCACGGUUAGACUUUAUAAGCCUGUUUUCAUUUUCCGGGUAAAAAUGAUUGGUUGGAUUUGAAAUUUCUUGAUUUUUACAUAGAUGAGCCAUAUAUAGUUAAGAGCAAUGUUAUUUGAACAACCUUUUUAUGUGACAAUUUGUUGGACAACCAUAUUAUACAAAGAAAUUUAGGUAGUGACACAAAUAUCAAAGCAAUAGAGAGAGAAAGUAGAAGAACAAUGUGUGUAUGAGAGAGAAAGUUAUCACAAAAAUUAUCAAAAAGUGGUUGUUCAAAUAUCAUUUCUCUAUAGUUAAAUGUUUCUCCAAUAUGUUCCCCUCAAAAAAGGUUUCUGCUCUCGCCACAUUCAAGUUGGUACGGAUAAACUAGUUGAUGGAUACACAUUUAAGUGAAUUAACUUAUAUGCAAAGAAAAGUCUCAAACAAGUGUGAUAAUUAUCUAUGAAAGUAAUGAGAGAGAUGACACCGGACACAAUAUUAACACAAACACAUUGAUAAAUGUAAUUUAUAUUUUAAAAAUUAAAUUAAUUGAAUAUAAUCAUAUGUGCUAUGACACAGAUGGAAGCAAAGUUUAGCAAUCUCUAAAUCUAGAAUGAUAAACAGACAAAUUGCAAACAACAAACCUGUCAAUUAGUUAGAAUCCACCAGAAAAUUAAGAAAUGUUCUCAGUAAUUUUAUUGAAUCAAAAACUACCCCUUAAACUACAAAUGUUAAACUUAAAUACUAGGGAAAUAACAAAAACCCUAAUGGGUUGAAAAUCCAAACAGAAAACAAUAGACAAAUAAUAAAAUUGGGCUGAAAUAAUAAAUUCCGGUUUUGAGCCUUCAGAUGAACUCAAAUGGCUUAAAAUUCUCAUGCAUCAUGGCAAAGCGAUUUGUUCUACUCUAGGGCCGAUUCCCUUUCCGAAAAGGUAUAUUAAUAGUCAAUCGGACACCUAAUAUCAAAUCUGCACUAUUCUCAUUGAACUCUUCUUAUGUGUCACUUCGUCUUCAAUAUGUGAUCUUCCUACAUCAUGCUAGUAUCAUACAUGUGUCAAACAAUGACAUAUGUCGAACACCAGACACACCUUUUAUUAGAAGUGUGAGUAAUAAAAUAUUGACUUCUUAUGAGUUCCUAUCACUUACAAACAAUCACAUGUAUCUGUCACAUCAUCUUAAUUACGUCACCUUAGUUAGCUCCAUAGACUAAAUUCAAAUUUUGGACGUACUGAAUAAGUUAUAUAAUCAAGAAUGUUUCCUUUCCUUCACGUAGUUAAGCUGGCUGACUAGUAUACAGAAUCAAUGGCGGCUGAUUAACAUUAGUCUUUUAUGCAUUAGGCAGGCCAUCAUUCAACAAAUAUAUGCAUUUUCACCAGAAAAAUGGUUAGAAUUCAGAACCAUAGCAUUAAUUUCUUUGAGCAAUUGACGGGCUAAAAGUCUUCCUAAUUAGAGCACUAUCCAUCAAUUAACACAAAAUGUUAUGCAUAUAAAUAUGGACUAGCAGGUCGAAUAAAGAUAUCAGUUUAUACUUUGAUAUAAUUCAAGCAAUACACUCUUGAAAAGAAACUCUUCGAUCAUGUCUAUCAUUUUUCUGCUUGUUGGUAUACUGUCCAUUGGACUAAAAUUAACAGGUCUAUAUAUACCUCUCCCUUAUCAUAUACUAUAUGUUAUGUUGUAUUGCUUUAUAUUUGUCUUGUUUGCAUAUGUUUCAAUUGCAGUGGUUUGUCCGCGUUAGCUCAGUUGGUAGGGACAAUCCAUAAUAUAUGUAAAGUUUGGGUUCAAACCUCAACCACCACAAAAUAAAUUACAGUGGGUUUAACUAUGAGGACAUUUUAAAAUCCCGGGUCGCCAUAUUUAAUUUCCCUCUCUCUGAAUGUUUUGAGUAUGACUACUAUACCAAUGCCAAAAGCAAUAUAGAAUUGUUUGCAUGUAUUUUUUUUUAAAGGAAAUUGUUUACAUAUAUGCUUAUGCACUGUUUUUUUUAUGAAAAUAUAUUUAUUCACUCUAUACAUUUUUCUUCUUCUUUAGAGUUAUCCACUCUAUACAUAGUCAAUAGUAUGCGUGUUAUAGUAUUUUGAAUAUGUGUGCUAUUUUAUGUUGAAAGAAUAAUUAACUUUAAUUUAUAAUUUUUUUUUUCAAAAGGUCCAUAAAAAGUUAUUAAGUAACCAAGUCAAUUAAAAACAAUUUACUAAAAAAAAGUCAAUUAAUAAAAAUAAAAAUUAUAUUUAAGCAAAUAAUAGUUUCAACAUAUUCUUUUAUUUGAAAGAUAGUUUCAUCAUAUUGUUUUGUUAUCAUUGUAUUUAUUCAUAUUUUUCUAUAAAUUGUAUAUAGAUCGUUAAAUAUAUUUUUAGUCCAAUAAAAUUAUAAUUUUUUAGUUUAGUUUUUGCAUAAAUUUGGUCCAAUUUUAAUUCUAUUAUAAUAAACAAAAAAAGCUGUGUGAACAAAGUUAUGUAGAAAGUAAACUUAAAAAUUUACAAUUUUUAUACGAAUUUAAAAUAUAUUUAAGGAAAAUGCUGGUUGUCCCGAUAAAAUGAAUCACGAAACUGUCCGACCGUUUGAAACACAAAUGCAUUUAUUGCUGCUGACAUCAUGUUUGGUAAGUGGAAGCAGUUUUUUUUUUUUUUUUUGGAAUCAAAGCAAUAUCCAAUCGGGAAGCUUUUGGAUAUAUUUCAUCGGGAUAUAUGGCAUCCCUCUGUAUUUAAUCCUUAUGUUUGUAGAUUCUAUCAUAUUAGGCAGCCAUACCUAAUCCUAAUGUGGAGGCCUCGCCCCUAAGGAUGUGUAACCUAUUAAGGACAAGGUCCAAAAUAUUAUUUCUCUAAUGACUUACAAUAGUUCAUUAUUAUAUGCAGCUGUGGAAUCCAUAGGAGUUUGCUAUGGGAUGAUUGGAAAUAAUCUACCAUCUAGGCAAGAUGUUGUGAAUUUAUAUAGAUCAAGAGGCAUUAACCAAAUGCGUCUUUACUUCCCAGAUGAACAAGCCCUCCAAGCCCUUAGAGGUUCCAACAUAGAGUUGAUCCUUGAUGUGGCUAGGGAAACCCUUAAUUCUCUUAGAAAUGCCAAUGAAGCCACAAAUUGGGUCAAUAGAUAUGUGAAACCCUAUGCUCGAGAUGUUAAAAUCAAGUACAUCACUGUCGGAAAUGAAAUUAAACCUUACGACAGUGAAGCACAAUCCAUUCUCCCUGCCAUGCAAAACAUUCAAAAUGCUAUUUCAGCAGCCAAUUUACAGGGACAAAUCAAGGUCUCAAUAGCAAUUGACAUGACUUUGAUUGGUAAUUCAUAUCCACCCAAUAAUGGUGUUUUCACUGACCAAGCAAAACCAUACAUACAACCAAUAAUAAACUUCCUAAAGAACAAUGGAGCACCACUUCUUGCCAAUGUGUAUCCGUACUUCGCUUAUAUCAAUAAUAAACAAAGCAUUUCUCUUGAUUAUGCUCUUUUUAGACAACAAGGAAACAAUCAAGUUGGUUACCGAAACCUUUUUGAUGCCCAGUUAGAUUCAGUAUACGCUGCUCUUGAGAAAGUUGGCGCUUCCGGUGUGAAGAUAGUUGUGUCCGAGAGUGGGUGGCCAUCUGCAGGUGGAGAUAGUGCCUCAACGGACAACGCUGCCACAUAUUAUCGUAAUUUGAUCAAUCACGUCAGGAAUGGGACUCCUAAGAGACCCGGAGCUAUUGAGACUUACUUGUUUGCCAUGUUUGAUGAAAAUCAGAAGACUGGUGCAGCAACUGAACAACAUUUUGGUCUCUUUAAUCCUAACAGAACACCUAAAUAUCAAAUAAGUUUCAAUUGAUAAUCUAAAAAAGCUAUGUAGCUAACUAAAUAGUUUACUACGAAUAAUUGUGUCAUGUGUGCACAUGUUGUUUCCAUCUUUCUAUGUCUGUAAUGAAUUAAAUAAAUGAAAUAUCAUAUAUCUUGUUUACUUAUGUAAUUCCCCCAUUAUAUUUUAGUUUGUGUUUGAUGUCAUGGUGGAAAACAUCAAACUUGUGGAGUAUGCAAAUAUUUAGGGUUUACCCUUAUGAUCUUUCCAACUGUAAGCAUGUUGGGUAAGUUGCAUAUCUAUCGACUGAGAACCAUAAUUAUUGAUCAAAGUAAAGAUCUUCAUAUUAUUAAUAUCACAUGUUUCUAAAUACUUCUCAUAUUUUUCAUCUUUUUAUUUGUUGGCUUAAUAGAGGUUCUAUAUAUCGAUAUAACUGCAUUUUCUUUCCUUUUAACUUUUUCAUUACAUAGUUCUGAUAAACACUAAUUUUACGCAUUUAAUUGGACACUAAUAUAUUGUAGAGAGUUUUAUGUGACCUAAGUGUACCAAGCAAGGACAAUAGUAAAAUACACAAAUGAAGAAGAACCGUAAAGAAUAGAAUACCCAUUGUAGAAUAUAUCAAGCAACAUAGAACCAUAAAUAGAAGCUGCGGAAAAUCGCAACACAAGCCGUGACCAAAACUAAUACAAAAGCAAAUCACCAAAGCACGUCGAAAAAACUAAAAGUUGUGCCAGAAAAAAGACCACAAACGAUUUUAAUGUGGAGUAACAUGAUUUCAAAAUGUUUAAUUUUUUUAAAUUACUUAUGGGUCUAGCUAACAAUUGUUCUAAGAAAAUUUGUUAAGAAAGCAAAAGAUAGACAUUUUGCACCAGAAACAACAAUAUUUAACUUCUUAAAAGUUGAAUAAUGCUGAAAGGACACUCUUUAAUAACUUCUUUUAGUAUUAUUCCAUUAACUAAAUUUAAAAUAUUUGAUUUAAAAAUUACUUUAAAUAUAUUAAAGAUCGAUAUCAUGAAAUAAUAUGUGUAAUUUUUUUUGGCUUAAAUGCAAUUUUGAUCCUCAUAUUUUCAAAAUUGUUAACUUUUGACAUCCCAUUUUUCAAAACAAACUUUCUCAUCCCUUAGUUAGAAAGUCAACAAAAAAUUUUGGUCCCCCUCCUUUUUGGAUGAUGUGAUAAGCCCAUUAAUGACGUGGAUCCUAUGUGACAUUGUGUAUAUGACAAAUCUUUUGACAUAUUAUAUCCACUUCAUUAAAAUUUAAAUAUAAUCAUAAAAUUAAAUAACAAAUUAAUAUUAAAAUAAAAAAAGAAUUGGAGAAUAAAAUUAUACCCUAAACUAAUAUUUUAUUCCCAAAUUGAAAAGAAAAAAAAUCCUAAAUUGAAGGACACAAAGAACAUAUCCUUCGAUUUUUAAGUAGGUAUAAAUAAAACGUUGACGCCUCCUUUUCAGACUCUCUUGACAGGAUAUGUAUAAGAAUCUACAUUAGAGAUGACAAGACUAAUUGGUGAUAAAACAAUCACCUAUAGACGAUGUUGAUGAUGUCGUAAACUCUAACCUAAUGGAGAUUAUGAGGAGGUUAUAGGUUAAAUUUUCCCACUAACAAAAAUAACAAUUAUUAUUUACCAUUUAAAAAACCAAGGUUAAUGAAUCACAUGAAGACAGUUAAACUAUAUAAACUAGUUUUUUUGGGUAAAAAUGAUCGGUUAGACUUGAAAAAUCUAGAUUUAUAUAUAGAUGAGGGCUCCAUGUAGUUAUAAGUUUCUCUAAACUAAAAUGGCCCGCCCCACAUUCAAGUUGGUAGUAUAAACUAGUUGACGGAUACGCAUUUAAGCGAAUUGGCUUCUCUAAAGAAAAGUCUCAAAUAAGGGUGAUACCGACAUCUCAAGCACCAACACACAUGUAUUAGAUAAUAGACACAACACCAACAUGGAUACAUCAAAAUACGGCUGUCGCAGUGUAGUUUGGUUCGAUUUUAAGGUUAAAAGUUAUAUAAACUAUAAUAUAUAUAAGUUUGCGGUUUGGUUUAGUUCGGUUGACUUUUAAAAUAAAAUCCGAACUAAACCAAUGCGAUUUGGAUUGGAUCGGUUGGUGCGAUUUUUUAGACAAUAAUUUUUUUGUUUCCAACAUUAAAAUCAAAUUAAACAGCUAAAAAACAACAUAUUUUCAACAAUGUUUUAAAUUUCAUCCAACAUUACAAUUUUAUUUUCAUCCAACAAUGUUUCCAACUACGUAGACCAAAUUUAAAGCGGACAAAAAGUAAUCUUAUUUUCUAAGAAAUAUAAAAGACUAUAUUUUUUUUAUCAUUCUCUAAGAGUUUAAGCACUACAUAAAUACAUUUAGGAAAGAAAAAUCAAAGAAGAAACUUAACAAAGGAAAAAAUAUGUCAUUUUAUUAAAGUUUUCAUUGAGUUUCUAUGAGUAUUGAUCCAUGUAAUAUAUAUUUAAUUAGUGUUUUUCUUAUAUUGGGGUUUUGUUUGGUUCGGUUGGUAAAAUUAAAACCACAAACCGAACCAAACCAUGCGGUUGAGAAGAAAAUUGAUCCGAAUACAUCCAAACCAAACCAUGCGGUUGAGUAGAAAAUUGAUCCGAAUACAUCUAAACCAAAUGCGAUUUUUCGCAGUUUCGGUUUGGAUUGGUUCGAUUUGCGUUUUUUUAUUGGAUUGGUUCGGUUUUGAACACCACUAAAAAUACUAAUAAAUUAUUAUUAUAAACAUAAGUUGAUUGAAAAUAAUCGCAUGUAUUGGUAUUAUAUCCGAGUCUGACACAUAUCUGACAUCAAACACAUCUAUUAAAAGUGUCGGUCAGAAUUGUACGUAGGUUAAUACAAAACUAAUGACUUGUUACGAAUUCUGGUCACUUACAAAUAACCAUAUGAAUUUAUCACGUCAUCUUAAUUAGUUCCAUAGACUUCCCCACAAAAUAACGACAACAAAAAAUUCAAAUCUUGAACGUACUGAAUAAGUUAUAUAAUUAAGAAGGUUUCCUUUCCUUCACGUAGCUAAGCUAACUGACUAGUAUACAAAAUCAAUGGCGACUGAUUAACAUUAGUCUUGUAUGCAUUAGGCCAUCAUUCAACAAUAUAUGCGUUUUCACCAGAAAAAUUGGUUGGAAUUUAAAACCAUAGCAUUAAUUUUCCUUUGAGUGAUUGACGGGGCUCAGAGUCUCUUUAACCCUGCAAUUAGUACUAGGAAUAGUAUUUGUUUCUUCUUAUUAUUAUGCAUAUAAAUAUGGACUAACAGGUGGAAUAAAUAUAUCAAAGCUGCAUAUAUACUUGGUUUAUACUUUGGUAUAAUUCAUUCAAGCAAUACACUCUUUAAAAGAAACUCUUCGAUUGAUCAUGUCUAUCAUUUUUCUACUUGUUGGUUGGUAUACUGUCCAUUGGACUAAAAUUUACUUAAAAAUAAUUAUAUUAAUUUUUAGAGUAAUGAUACAUAGACACUAUUUAUUCUCAUACACCCCAUGCAUUAGGAAGAGAGAAGAGGAGAGAAAAGAGAAAGUGUGCUUGUGCGGGGUCCACGUGACUACGUGUCAGAUUUUUGUGAAGGUAUCAAAGGGUGUAUUGCCAUCUAAGGGUGUCUAUGUAUCAUUACUCUAAUUUUUAAUAAUAUAACUUUUUGAAAGGAUGUAAAGUGGCGAAGCUAAUCUAAUUUUUUUUAGGAAGUUAAGUAUAUAUUUUAAGGUGCAUCUAAUAUGGACCUCUUAAAAAUAGAAAAUAAAAAAUAAAUAUAAUAUUUUCUUAAAAUUUACUACUAAUAGCGAAGUCCACAUUUCGACCGGGUCCAAAGGCGAAUUACUUGUACAUGUGUGCAUCAUAACCACUAAAAUUUGUCUUUGCAACGACUCACACUUAGUUCGUUAUUGUUACGCAGUUGUGCAAUCCGUAGGAGUUUGCUAUGGAAUGCUUGGCAAUAAUCUACCAUCAAGGCAAGAAGUUGUGGAUUUAUAUAAGUCAAAUGGCAUUGACUAAAUGCGUAUAUACUUCCAAAGCAAGGAGCAACGUAGAUUGUGCCUUUUCCUCCAGAGUGACGAUAUCAGCAGGUAGAGGAUUUGAUGCAGGCUUUAACAAAGGUGUCUAUAGACCAUGCUGUUUAAGCAACACCCAAAUCUUAAUCUGCCACAAAAUAAAAUUAUUCCUCCUAGUGAACUUGUCGACUUUCAACAUUUUACCUUCAACUAUCGUUCCCGCCUGAACAUAUCCGAACCAGCUCUGGUACUAGUUUGUUAUAACGCGACGCGAGAAUAAUGACAAUAAUAUAUAGUAAAAGGCAGAAUGAAAACAACACGAGAUUUAACGUGGUAUCCAACAAUGUGAUGACUCAUCCACACACAAAGCCACGAAAAAGAAUUCUACUAUGAUCGAUAAUUACAAAUUAUAUGCUGAAUAGUAGAUGUAAUACCAACUAUAGCAAAACCACGAACUAUUGGUGCAAGAAAUUACUAACACACAAGGCCUUUAUUUAUAUGGCCAAGUCUUUGCAUAUUUUUUCAUAUAAUCCGAUGUGGGAUAUUUUCCCAACAUAAUUCAAGGAAUAUUUCAAAAAAAAACAAACAAAAGAAGACUAAAAAUAUGUGAAAAUCACUUGUUCAAUUGGACAUGAAGGAAAAACAAUUAGGAGGGUUGAUUUUGAGUCAAAAUUGAUCAUAAAUCACCCAUCUUUGGCAAAAUAUUAUUGGAUUUGUCACAAUGAAAUGAAAUUUUUAAAAUAUCAAAUUUUUAUAAGUUUUUAUUAUAAGUAAUUGAAGAUAGGAAAAUACUAACAAGUGCCCUCAUGAUAUUGUUUAAGCAUCUAAAAGUAGAAAAUAUUACAUAAAAAAAAUUGUGUAGUUAUAACUUUUACCUGUGUUUGACUUCUAUUUUCAAGACAAAAUUUCUUUUUGUGGGUUCCUUAGAUAAUGCUCUUAGGACACUUGUUAGUAAGACCCUUAAAAAUAUCAACGGUCAUAAUUUUUUUUUGGCAUAUGUGAAGUGGUUGACUACACAAGUAUUUAAGAACGAAGGAAGUAUAAUUAAUAGAUCAAGCCGGUAUCUCGAUGGGUUUGAUUGGUUUGUUGCAUGCAUGAUAAUGAAGUAAUACAUACAACAACUACUGCCUCCAUCCCUAAAUAUAAUACAAUUUUAAGUUUUUUUAAAUCUUUUUCAAAUUUCAAAGUGCAUUAAUUAUUUCUUUAUCAAUAUAUCAUAUUAAGUUACAUAUUUUUCUACAAUAUAUAAUAAUAAAUAUUUUAUGAAAACAUAAGUUAAUUCUCUCCCUAAAAGAUAAACUUGUAAAACAAUAGCAAUUGUCAACAAAAUUAAUACAACAAUUAAUUUUCUUAAUUGCAGUAUUUUUCUCAAAAUAAUCAUAUAUAUAGCGACAAUUGUAGCAUAUAGUAGAUUAGAGUAAUUUAAACUUGUUAGCAAAAAGUGAUUGGUUAGAUUUGAAAAAUCUUGUGGUUUUUGGAAUUAGAAAAAGUAUCUUAAAAAGAAAAAAUCACCAUUGAAGAGAAUAUUGAGUUGAGUCACGACCAUACUUUCUUUAUGACGUUUCACGACACUAUUCAAAUUUGUUCAAGGUAGACUAUCAACCGCGCCGCUUUUAGGAUUUAACAAUCUAAUUCCCAUGUUCGAUUACGUAUUGUACCGUAAGUAAUCGUUCGAAAAAUAACACCUUCAAUAUGGUAUAAAACCACUCUCAUAUGGUACAAAGACCACUCGAAACCGAAGGGACAUGGGAGGACCUGCACUAGAAGGCCCUUGGCAUAGGGCCUCAAACUUGAAGGGGCCUGAACAUUUGAAAAAAGGAAGAAAAAAAAAAAACUUGUACCUACGGACAAAAUCCGUCACUAAAUGUCAUUUUUCCGUAGGUAAAAGUCCAGAAAUCAACUAUUUUGCCAUUGAGUCCGUAGGUAAAUGUCUAUUUUUAUGUGGGUAAAAGUCAUGUUUGAACCAUUGCUCGUAUAUUUUACUAGAACGUAGAUGUUUGUCAUUUUAAGUGGUGUCGAAUUUAUUUCUUGCAAUACUUUUUAAAUUAAAAUUGUCAAGAUUACAACGUGGCCUCUGAAUUGUUGGAGACGUCCUUGCGAAGGGACAUAAGGAGUAGAAGAAAAGUAGAAAGACUCGUUAACUCAAGUCGAAAAGGGAAGAGAGAAUAAAAAUAUCAAAAGUAUCACAAUAUUUUUCGGUGUGCUGAUUAAAACUGUCAAGAUUACAACGUGGCCUCUGAAUUGUCGGAGACGACCUUGCGAAGGGACAUAAGGAGUAGAAGAAAAGAAGAAAGACUCGUCAACUCAAGUCGAAAAGGGAAGAGAGAAUAAAAAUAUCAAAAGUAUCACAAUAUUUUUCGGUGUGCUGAAUGAGUGAAGCGAGCUCUCCUUUUAUAGGGAGAUUUCGUAACGAAUCCGAAGCGACUUAAAUAUCACAAUGUUAGUGCUUUAUAUGUCAAAAUGGAGUAGUAAAUUUAAAAAUAAAAUAAAAAAUUGAUUGAAAAUAAUUGCAUAUAUUGAUGUUGUAUCGGAGUCUGACACAUAUCUGACAUCAAACACACUAUUGAUGUUAUAUCGAAGUCUGACACAAAUCUGACAUCAAACAUACCUUUUAGAAGUGUCACUCAGAAUUGUAGGUGAUACAAAACUAAUGACUUGUUACGAAUUCUGGUCACUUACAAAUAACCAUAUGAAUCUAUCACGUCAUCUUAAUUAGUGCCAUAGACUUCCCCAUAAAAUAACAACAACAAAAAAUUUCAAAUUUAGAACGUACUGAAUAAGUUAUAUAAUUAAGAAGGUUUCCUUUCCUUCACGUAGCUAAGCUAACUGACUAGUAUACAAAAUCAAUGGCGACUGAUUAACAUUAGUCUUGUAUGCAUUAGGCCAUCAUUCAACAAUAUAUGCGUUUUCACCAGAAAAAUUGGUUGGAAUUUAAAACCAUAGCAUUAAUUUUCCUUUGAGUGAUUGACGGGGCUCAGAGUCUCUUUAACCCUGCAAUUAGUACUAGGAAUAGUAUUUGUUUCUUCUUAUUAUUAUGCAUAUAAAUAUGGACUAGCAGGUGGAAUAAAGAUAUAUCAUAGCUGCAUACUUGGUUUAUACUUUGGUAUAAUUAAAGCAAUACAUUCUUAAAAAGAAACUCUUCGAUUGAUCAUGUCUAUCAUUUUUCUGCUUGUUGGUAUAUUGUCCAUUGGACUAAAAUUUACAGGUCUGUAUUGCAUUAUAUUUUGAAUAUUUCUUUUACUUUUCAUGAUAUGUUUAAGAAUGCUAACUAGAGCAUGCAUCAUUGUCAACAGAUUAUAAUAAUAUUCAAAUAAUGUAAGCAUCAACAUAUUUGUUUGCAUAUGUCUCUAUUGUUAAAGCCUAAUGAUUUGCUUAAUUAUAUGUAUAUGCACUCUCUUUUUUAUGAACAUAUCUCUACCCUACUCUAUACAUAUUUUUACAAGUAUUGUUAUAUGUGUGUUUUAUAAUUAUUUUGAAUAUGUGUGUUAUAAACUAUUUUAUGUUGAAAAAAUUAAUUAAUUUUUACUUAAAAAAUAGUUAUUUAUUAAUUAACUUUUAGUAUAUAUACAUUUUUUAAAGGUUGUGUAGUGGCGAAGCUAAUCUAUUUUUUUUUCUGAUGGAGCUAAAUAUAUAUUUUAAGGAUGCAUCCCUCACAUCUAAGUGGACCGUUACCAUAUUCUGUAUAUUUACUAUAAAAACAAAAAUUAGCGAUGGAAAUUUAGUGAGGAAAAACAUAAAAUCUCUAUCUAAUUCUGUCACUAAAUUUUGAAACCAAAGAAUUUGUGAGAGAUUUUAUUUUUUCCGUCAAUAAUUUCCCUCCCUAGUUUUGUUUUUCCUAGUAGUAAAAUCAUGUUUUUGUUUAUCAAGAAUAAUAAAUUUGAUAUUAAUAAAAAAAUAAACAAUAAAUAUAAUAUUUUCUUAAAAUUUUCUAUUAAUAGUUUAGUCCACAUUUGGACAGGGUCGAAAAGUGAAUUAAACCAAGUAAGUUAAUAAAAAUAUAAAAUAUUUAGGAAAAUGAUGUCAUCAUAUUGAUGUUUUGUUAUUAUUGUAUUGUAUCAAUUCUUUGUCAUUUUUUUUUGUAUUUAUUCGUAUUAUAUAUUGUAUAUAUUACUUAUAUGAUCAUCAUAUAUAUUUUAGUCCUAUAAAAUUACAACUUUUGAGUUUAGUCUUUACAUAAAUUUGUCCAAUUUUAUUUCUAUUUUGAACCUUUUUUAAAAAAAAAAAAAAACUACAUAAAUUUGUCCAAUUUUAUUUCUAUUUUGAUCUCUUUUUUUUUUUUAAAAAAACGAGUGUUAGUUUUGUAUUUAUUCUUUUAAAUAGAAAAUAAAAUGUAACAAAAUUUAUGUAUGGGUAUAUCAUAUUUCUAGGUAGCCAUACACCUACCUCAUAAGUGUGAGGCCUCACCUUAGGGAUGUGUAACUUCAAUAAAAUAAGGUCCAAAUCAUUAUGUCUACCUUUCAAGGGACACAAUAAAUUGUCAAUUAUGAGAGUUCACAUUAUAAUAUUUUACGGUGUAAGUGAAAUCUUCAAAACUAAAAAUAUAUCUUGAUUGCAAUUCCAUUUUUGUCAACCGACAUUUUGCUCAAGGGAAUGCAAAUUUCCGUAGAGGUUUGUUAUAUGAACUAUUUGCGGGACAAUUGACCAAACGAUCAAAGACAUACAAAGAAAAGUAUGUAUUGUCGUCGUAUCGAUACAAAAUCAAACUAAUAAAAAGAACAUAAUAUAAGUUUGAGAUAGAAAAUAGUUACAAAAUGAUAGAAUCAAGUGUUAUUAGAAAUGGAAUCUUAUUUGUCAUUUGUGUAUCUACAUUUUUUUACUUUGACACAAUUGUGUUUAUAUCCGAGUAGAUAGAAUCACAAAUAUUAUCAUCGUGAACUUAGCUCAAUUUGUUCCAUUGAUAGGGAUAAUGUGUAAUAUAUAUAAGGUCUGGGGUUCAAACAUCGACCGGAUAAAAAUCACAAAUAUUAAAAAAUAACUAUUUUCUUCAAAUUUGAAGUCCAGUUCACUUUGGAAAAUUCUUUUAUAUUGUAAUUUAAUUUAAUGACUUACAAUUCUGAAUUUGUAGGUUACUUGUAUUAUAGGUUAGGACGAUGAAAAAGUAUAAAUUAAGAUUGAGGUUCAAUGUCCAACAAACUAACCAUCAACCUCUCAAGCAAGUGUAUUUAUAAAGAGUAAUGAUACAUAGACACCCUUAGGUGGCAAUACACCAUUUGACAUCCACACAAAAAUCUAACACGUAGUCACGUGGACCCCACACAAGCACACUUUCUCUUUCCUCUCCUCUUCUCUCUUCCUAGUGCAUGGGGUGUACAAGAGUGUAUGGGAAUAAAGGGUGUCUAUGUAACAUUUUCCUUUAUAAAAAGGUUAAGUACUUGUAGUGGUACAAGUAUGAUACUUUUUUUGGUACGAUCUACUUUUUUAGUUCUUUCGUUGUGAGUGAAGUUUGUGGAUUUUUGAUGUAUUAAUAUGAUAUUAUUUGUGUGUGUAUUUUUUUUUGUGGUGGCCGAGGUUUGAACCCUGGACCUUACAUAUUUAUUUUAAACCAUGUAUCUUAUUUUCCACAUUGUUACCUUAUUCGUACAUGUGCAUCAUAAACCCUAAAAUUUUGACGUUUGCAACAACUCACUUAGUUCGUUAUUAUUUACGCAGUUGUGCAAUCCGUAGGAGUUUGCUAUGGAGUGCUUGGCAAUAAUCUACCAUCAAGUCAAGAAGUUGUGGACUUAUAUAAGUCAAAUGGCAUUGACAAAAUGCGUAUAUACUUCCCAGACGAACAAGCCCUUCAAGCCCUUAAAGGUUCCAACAUAGAAUUGAUCCUUGAUGUGGCCAAGGAAACCCUAUCUUCUCUUACAGAUGGCAAUGAAGCUACAAAUUGGGUCCAAAAAUAUGUGACACCAUAUGCUCAAGAUGUAAAAAUCAAGUACAUCACUGUUGGAAAUGAAAUUAAACCUAAUGACAAUGAAGCCCAAUACAUUGCCACUGCCAUGCAAAACAUUCAAAAUGCAAUUUCAUCAGCAAAUUUACAAGGCCAAAUCAAGGUCUCAACAGCAAUUGACAUGACUUUGAUUGGUACUUCAUAUCCACCCAAUGAUGGUGCUUUCACUGACCAAGCAAAGCAAUAUUUACAGCCAAUAAUAGACUUCCUAAAGAACAAUGGAGCACCACUUCUUGCCAAUGUGUAUCCGUACUUCGCUUAUAUCGGUAAUAAGCAAAGCAUUUCUCUUGACUAUGCUCUUUUUAAACAACAAGGAAACAAUGAUGUUGGGUACCAAAACCUCUUUGAUGCCCAAUUAGACUCAGUAUAUGCUGCUCUUGAGAAAGUUGGGGGUACCGAUGUGAAGAUAGUUGUGUCCGAGAGUGGAUGGCCAUCUGAUGGUGGAGAUAGUGCCUCAACUGAUAAUGCUUCCACAUAUUAUCAAAAUUUGAUCAAUCACGUCAAGAAUGGGACUCCUAAGAGACCCGGAGCAAUUGAGACAUACUUGUUUGCCAUGUUUGAUGAAAAUCAGAAGACUGGUGCAGCAACUGAACAACAUUUUGGUCUCUUUAAUCCUGACAAAUCAUCUAAAUAUCAAACAAGUUUCAAUUGAAUAAAUUGAUAAUUUAAAAAAGAUAUGCAGCUAAAUAUAGUUUACUAUGAAUAAUUGUGCCAUGUGUGCACAUGUUAUUUCCAUCUUUCUUUUUUUUUUUGACAGAAUUUCCAUCUUUCUAUGUAUGUCAUGAAUUAAAUAAAUGAAACAUCAUAUCAUAUAUUGUUACUUAUGUAAUUCCACCAUUAUAUUUUAGUUUGUGUUUAAUGUCAUAUUGGAAGACAUCAAACUUAUAUAGUAUGCUAACAAUAAAGGCACAACUCUAGCAAAAUUUGCAACAUAAGUAGGCUUGAUGGACACAAAUGAAGCAGAAUAUUAACCUUUGGUGUUUGGUCUUGAGUUAUCAAUUGAUUGUGUAUAGUUAAAAUAGGGAAAAGUAAUAGUAGAACACGCUCUAAAUUAAGUGGCCCUCGCAUGGGUGAAUGGUGAUUAUUUGUCCAUGGAGUUUGAGAUUCUUUGUGAAUAAAUUGAAAACCAAAUUGUUGGUGUUGAAAAAUGUUUCUUUUGUGCAUAGGAAUAUAGAAGUGAAAUUUCAUUAUAUAUUUGGCAAAAGAAUGAUCCUCUUUGGAAUUUAGGUGAGUGAAGUGGUGUUGUAAAAUUUGUGAUAUUUGGAAGGGUUGAUUGUGUACUAAUGAUCUCAAGGUCAAGGGAUGGCUCUUUAAGUAUAGCAUUGGAAUUGAAAUUUUGGGUGUCAUGAAGGUGGGGGAGUAGUGCAUUAGUGUUUUAAAGUUGUUAGAUUUAUUUUGGCUUCGUAGUUUUGUCUUUGUAGUGCACUAGGGCCUUCGAUUUAGUUCCUUGACUGCUACAGGUGUUGUUCAUAAUCUGAUAUGCAUUGAACUAUAUUAAUGAUUUGAUUUAGUAGUGUGUCUGUUAAUUUUAUGGAAAUUGCUCUUCUCUCGAUCAAAAUUGCUUGUUCCCACAUAAACAACCGAAAAUUCCCCAACGUGAGUGAACACUUGUUCGGUAAAAUCAGCGUAAGUUAACUGACAUUCGAUAACAACCAACGUGAUUUAAAUGUCGUUGAAAAAAAAUUACCCCAUGGGACUUAAGUCAUGCUACUUAAUUCUUGUCGAUGUACGUGCAGUAAUUGUGGAUGGUACUUACCAAGUUACCAUGAUGUGGAUUCAAGUGUGUUGGCUUUCAGUUGGCAGCAAGACGAGUUUUUCAAGAAGGAAUAAGAAAAGCCGGACCGAAAAUGCUUGAACCUAUAUAAAGAGUUGGGACCAAACCAUUACUAGAAUUUCUCGUUUUACCUGCAGAUUUACCCUCAAAAAAUUCCACAGGAGUUUCUGAGGAUUUUGCUGCGAUCUUGUUGAUCUGGACAACGUACUUCCGGAUCUAGAAACGGCAUGCAACUCCGCAGGUAAUGAAUCCAUUUGCUGGGGUUUUCCUGCGGAAGCUAUUUUCUUUUUUACCCAAUGAAUCCUUGGGAAAUUCCACAGAUAUUCCAGCGGAUUUACCUGCAGAUUUUCGUUUGACCUGCAGAUUUACCUACAGAUAUUCCUGCGGAUUUACAGCUGCAUUUCUUUAGAUUCUUUUCUUCUUUAAAUUUUAAAAUUGUAAGAUUAUGAAUUUCUUUAUUUUUAUUCUUUUGAUAUUGAAUAUGGAACCUAAAUCUUUAGAAAAAUCCGCAGGAAACAGUUUUGCCUUGGAUUUUCACCAUUAUCCGCAGGAAGAUCAAGAGUUUCUGGCAGUAAACAUCAGAUUCCCCAUUUCAAUCCAAGUUGAAAAAUAAACUACACACAAGCUCAUGCAUGUGCUAAAUUACCAAUUAUGAAAACAAAAUUAAUCCGAAAGAAAAGCAUGAAAGAACUGAAACCAUAUUGAAUGGGAUGAAGAACAAGAAGCUACCUCGAAUGAAGGGGUUGGAGACCAACACAAUAAACUUAAUGAACGAAGGUUGCCAAAGUCUGGGUGCAGGGAGACUGGAUCAAAAGAAAGAAUGGUCAUGCAUGAUCGCACAAAGAGAAGAGCAGCCAUAAGAGAGGCCUAUAUCGUCAGAGAUGGUGAGACAACAUGAAAUCUAUUUGGGGGCUAAAUUUCAGUCAAUGAGUCGAAGAAACUUGGGUAUAGGGUUCACUCGCGUUGAAGAAGUAAUUUUAGGUUAUUUGUAUUAUUGUUUUUCAAAAAUUUGGAAGCUGAUUUAUAUUUUAACGUUCUUUUAUAAAGUUUGAGUAAAAAGAUGAUUUUGGUUAAAGAUUAUAAACCAGUUCUCUUAAUAAAGUUUGGUAAUUGACUUUUGAAAAUUUAUGGUUCAGUUCAUGAACCAUUUAAUUGGUUUGGUCUCUUAUAGUUCAGUGUGGUUCAUUUUACUCAUAUAGUUCAUUGAAUUAGUAUAUUUCGCUCACCCGGACUUCAAUCUAUAUUUAUACCCCUCCUUUGCUUUUGGUAUUAUCUUUUGAUAACAGUUGCGAAGUUUGGUGUGAUAUGAUCAAUCAGUUCUAUGAUCAUUGUCUUCUGAUAGUAGGGUUCUCAAUAUGCUUCUACUUUACGCCUGGAAAGUUGAAUGAUGAAGGUGUAGUUUAGAAAAGGGGGUUGGCUCAUAGUAAUGGACUAUGGUGAUGGUUUCAUAUGGUAAUAAAGAUGAUGAGUUUACACGGUUCUUAAAAAUGAACAAGAGUUAUGGUGUGCUAGUUACGUUUAUGAGCUAAAUCUUAGUUGUUUGUUGAUUGUUUGUGGUUAGAGGAGAUAGAUGUAUGAAGUGAUGGUGGAGACCCCUUUCUUUGGUUAUGUCUUCUCCUUUCUUUAGUUCUCCCCUCUUUUUAUUCCCUUCUCUUGCUUUGGUUUUGAUUUUGUUGUUGAUAUUUAUACUUAAAAAAUUAGGUUUUUGUUUUUUAUUUUGAUUUUGUUGUUGAUAUUUAUACAAAAAAUAUAAGGUUAAGUUCUUUACUGAAUGAUGCCAAAUUAAAAUUGUACAUGUUACUUACAUGGAAAUGGGAAAAAGGAAAAGAAAUGAAGAAAGAUACUUUUUUUUUUUUUGUCAGGGUUUGAACCUCCGGACCUUGCAUAUAUUAUGCAUUAUUUCUAUCAAAGCUAACCUCACGAAGACAAAUUGAAGAAAGAUGUUUGAUGGCAUACUCAACAUGCUUACAGUCCAAUUUUUGUCUUUUAAGAGGAAAAUUUUAAAGACAAGGAUAAAGAAAUUUAUCUUUUGACCAAAAUGGAAGAGAUAGUUUCACGCCACCAUCGUUGUGAAGAAAAGGAUAAAGAAAUUUAACUUUUAAAAAGGAUGUUUCAUAUUGAGUCAUGUAAUUUAAUUUUCUGAAAUCAAGCAAUUAUUUGGCGUCUUUAAUGUAAUUCACUACAAAAUCAUGUAAUUUGACAAAGCAAACCACCUUAUGAAGAAUAAUUGAGAAGACAAUGGAUAAAUAUUUAAGAGGCCUCUAGAGACAUUAAAAAGUACAUAAAUUUUGUUUCUAGUCCCAAGACAAGUUUUAAAGAAGAAAAUACUCAAAAAGGCAAAGAAAAAGGCAAAAAUGUGUUAGGAGAAGGUGUUGUGCGCCCCAUGUGUGCAAAACAGUGCAUAAAAUGCACUCUUUCGGGCACCACGCACGAGGAGCAUUCUUCCACGCAUGGUCCCUUGCGCUCUCGGGAGUUUUCAGUUACGGGUAUGGGGAAAUGGGGUAGAUUUUCAACCCAAACUCACUCAGAAUUCAACAUGUAAAUACAGCUCCUCUCAUUCACAAUUAUUCAUUCAAAACGAAGCGGUUCAAGAGGAAGGUAAGUAUUAGGAGCAUCAAGGGAGAAGUUUCUCAUCAACCUUCUUCUCUCUAUAGUAUGUUAUGUUUCUUUUGUAAUUUAUAUUUAGUUACCAUGAGUAACUAAGUCCUAAUUGUGUAGGAUUCUAAUAUGAACCUUUGUUUGUUUAUUGGAUCUUUUUAAUUCAAGUAUUUUAUUCAGUUAACUUAGAUAUAAUCUUUUUAUGGAAAUGUCAUAAUGCUUUUCUGAAGAUAAUUUUACUUACUACUUCGUUACUUGAAAAUGAAAUAAUGCACUUGUCAAAUUUGAUCAUCAAUAUUGAGCCACUUAAUAUAUUAUAUUAAAAAUAAAUGAAUUUUAUUAAAAUCCUAUGACAUGGAAUUACUAGUGGAAUCUUUUCUGUAAGCAAAUUUUUUAACUUUUUUAACGAGUAAAUAGUCAAUUUCCCCUCUGAAAUUGUAAGUUUCAUCAAUUACCUUCCUGAAAUUAACAAAAUUUAAAUUACCUCCCUGAAAUUUCACGUUAGUCAAUUUACCCCCUCCGUCAAAUUUUUCUGUUAGUGAACAUGACGUUUUGCAAAUACCCCCCUGAAGUUUUGCACUUAUGUGCAAAAUGCCCCAAAACUUAAAAAUUUAUAUUAUUUUUUAAAAAAACAAACAAUUAAUAGUUAAAUAUUAAAACUAACUAUUAAUUUUGGAAUUUGGGAAAACUACAUGCAUAUAUACAUCAAAAUAGGCUCCAAAAUGAGAAAAAAAUAUGUAUUUUUUAAAGUGACAAUAAUGGGAUGAUUUGUAGAUUAAUAUUGGGGGUUGUGUAGUUUAAAUGGUUUGAGAAAAUUGUUGAAGGAGUUGGAGGAGUUAAAAGACUAAGAUGAUGAAGGAGAAAAUAUAAAUUUAAAUCUGAUUAUUAAUUUGUUUAUAAACCUCUAAAAAUAAUAAUUUGUCUAUUAGAAAUAACCAUUAUUGUCACUUUAAAAAUACACAUUUUUCCCUAUUUUGAUGUAUAUAUGUAUGUAGUUUUUCCAAACUCCAAAAUUAAUAGUUAGCUUUAAUAUUUAACUAUUAAUUGUUUGUUUUUAAGAAAAAAAUAAUAUAAAUUUUUAAGUUUGGGGGGCAUUUUGCACAUAAGUGCAAAACUUCAGGGGGUAUUUGCAAAACGUCAUGUUCACUAACAGAAAAAUUUGACGGAGGGGGUAAAUUGACUAACGUUGUGAAAUUUCAGGGGGUAACUGAAGUUUUGUUAAUUUCAGGGGGGUAAUUGAUGAAACUUACAAUUUCAAGGGGGAAAUUGACUAUUUACUCUUUUUUUAACAUUAAAAAGUUAAAAAAAUGUAUGAUGUGGAGACACCCUAUAUUUUAGGGUUAAUUAAGUUUUUGGUCCCUAUAAAUAUCUGCAGUUUUGUAUUUAGUCUUUAUAAAAAUAAAUCAUACUUUUUAGUCCCAACAAAAUUUUCUGUUAGUGUUUUUAGUCCCUGUUAAAUUAAAAUUUGUUUAAUUAUGCUUAAACUUCUAAAUUUUUGAAAGAUUUUUUACAUACAUGUUCAUAACAUCGUAAGACACUCUUUUAUAAAAAAAUUUAGUUUUUUAACAUGUAAUGAAUUAAAUAUGAAUUUUUCUAAAAGUCCAAUUUUCAAGAUUAUAUUAAUGAAAAUUUGGACCUAAUAAUAAAAUUUUAAGUUACUUUUCUGCGGGGGAAUUUUGUAUAAUAUUCUAAGUAAGUAUGUGAAAAAUUUGUUACAAAUUAAAAAGUUUAAGCACAAUUAAGCAUAUUUUAAUUUUACAACGACUAAAAGUAUGUGUUGGUCCCUAUUAAAUUGAAAUUUGUUUAAUUAUACUUAAACUUUUAUAUUUUUAAAUGAUUUUUAACAGAUAAGAACAUUAUAAUAAUUUCUUUUAUAAAAAACUAGAAUUUUUUAACAUGUAAUGAAUUAAAUAUAAUUUUUUUUAAACACCAAAAAUUCAAGAUAAAACUAACGAAAAUUUGGACCUAAAAAUAAAAUUUUGAGCUAAUUUAUUGUGGCGGAACCUUUUAUAAUGUUUUAAACAAGUAUGUAAAAAAUCAUUAAAAAAUUAAAAUUUUAAGCAUAAUUAAACAAUUUUUAAUUUAACAGAGACUAAAAACACUAACGGAAAAUUUUAUAAAGACUAAAAAGUAUAAUUUAUUUUAUAGGGAUUAAAAAUAAAACUGCAGAUAUUUAUAAGGAUAAAAAACUUAAUUAACCCUAUAUUUUAUAACAUUUCCUUAGCUAAGCUGACUAACAUAUGCAGCCGGCAAAUUUGUCUUGUAUGCAUUAUUAAUUAGGCCAUCAAUCAUUAAUAUAUGUGUUUUCGUUUUACCCAAAACAAGUGGUUGGAAUUCGAAAACAAUGCAUAGCCCUCAAUUUCCUUUGAGUGAUUGACGGGGCUAAAAGUCUUCCUUAUUAGAAGACCACCCUUUACUGUAGUCAAUACAAAGCAGUAGUAUUUGUUCUUUUAAUUAUGCAUAGUAUAACUAUGGACUAGAAGAAGGUAUAAGAGAUUCAGAGUUGCAUACUUGGUUUAUAUUUUAGUAUAAUUCAUCAAGCAAUACAUUCUUUAAGAGAAACUCUUCCAUCGAUCAUGUCUAUCAUUUUUCUGCUUGUUGGUAUACUUCUAUCCAUUGGACUACAAUUUACAGGUCAAUAAUAGUUCUCUCCCAAUAUUAAUAUUAUUGUAUACUUUUUGUAUUGCAUUUUAUUACUUUGAAUUACUUCUUUUGUUAUUCAUUAUUCAGUAAUAUGUUAAAUUAAAAGGCUACUAGAGUCUAUGGCAUCAAUGUCAACAGAGAGAGUUUAACUAAGGAUAAAAAUACCAGAAAAAACCCAAAAUCAUCACAAAUUCAAAAACCUCAAAUCCCAAAACCAAAACCAAAGAAAAUAGAAAUUGUUUUUGAAACCCACAAUGAUUUUAGUGUUCUUUUUUAUUGGGCUUGGAUGAAGAUCUGGAUUGGUUAGGAUAGAACCAAGGUUAGAUUGAAAUAAAUAAAUAAAUAAAUAGGUUUAAUUGCAGUUUUGGCCCUCUAAGUAUCACAAUCUUCUAAUUUUGAUCCCCUAUAAAAAAUAUUAACAAAUCAGCCCUCUUAAGUUUACAUCAUUUUGCACUUUUGAUUCUCCGAACCAAUUUUGACCAAGUUAAUGCAUAUGUGGCACCCACAUCAACAAUUUAGGUUCUUUUAAUAGUUUUACUAUAGUUUGUCUAGAUCUUCUCUUGUCCUUAUUAUUUUAAGGGUUAAUAGGUCUUUACCCCCUGUAAUAUAGGACACUUUUGGUUUUACCCGCUGUAAAUUUAUUUUUUUAGAUUCCGUCCUUGUAAAAUGAAGAUUCUUCAAGAUUGCCCCCUGAGCCCUGUGACUCAGCAGAAUCUAUGAUGUGGCAUCUUUUUUUAUUUAUCAUUUUUUUUUGGAUGCCAAGUGUAUUUACAUGUCAUUUAAAAUUAAAAAAAAAAUAAAAAAAUCAAUUUUUUUUAAAUAACGAAAAAUAAUUUAAAAAUCAGAAAAAAAAAAUAGAAUUUUUUUUCAAAAAUUUAAAAAAUUGAAUUUUUUUUUUAAAUAAAGUUCCAGAUUUUUUUUUAAAAUACUUCCUAAUUCCAUAUUCUUUUUAAAAAAUUUAAAAAUUCAGAUUUUAAAAAAAAAAUUAAGUUCCGGAUUUUUGUUAAAAUCAGAAAAAACAUGCAGAUUUUUUUAAUUUAAUUUUUAAAAUAAAAAAAAAUAUUUUAUAUUUCAAAAUCUUUAUUCCAGAAAUUUUAUAAAUUCUUUUUUGAAAUUAAAUAAUUAGAAAAAAAAUUAGAUAAUACUUUUUUUUUUCCAAAUUUUAUAAUUUUAAUUUAAUUCGGAUUAUUUUUUAAAUUUAGUAUAAUUUUUUUGGAAAAUUUGGAAAUAUAUUAAGUUCGAGAAUGGAAACGGUAUACCAUAUGGAUUUUCCUGUCAUUGAUGAGAAAUAUAUUAAGUUAGCAUUUAGAAAAAAUUUCAAAAAAUAUAUUCCUGAAUUUUUACGAAUUUAUUUUUUAUUUAAAAAAAUAAAAAUAAAAUCUUUUUUUUCUGAAAUUAGGAAGUAUUUUAAAAAAAAAAAACUGGAUUUUAUAAAAAAUUUCAAAAACAAAUCAGAAUUUUUUCUAAAUUUAAAAUUUUCAAAAAUAUCUGAAGUUAAGAUUUUAAAAAUUUAAAUAAAAUCAAAUUUUUUUUUCAGAUUAAAUAGUUGGAAUUUAAAAACAUUUAUAUCCAAAUUUUUAAAAUUAAAAUAUUUUCCAGAAUUUUUAUUCUUUGUACAAAAAAUUAAAAAAACUUUUUUAUUUCGAAAAAAAUCUGAAUGUUUUUUAAUUUCGAAAAAGAUAAGACAAUUUUCUAUUUCGGAAAAAAAUCUAAAUGUUUUUUAAUUUUUGGAAAAAAAAAUCUAAUUUUUUCUCAAUUUAAAAAAAUAGUUUGAAUUUUUUCAGAUUUUUUAAAAUUUUGGAAAUUAAUUUUUAGAUUUUUUAAAAUAUGAUUUUCGUUUUUUUUGAAAUUUUAUUUUUUACUUUAAUUUUUUUAAAUAAAAAUGACGUGUAAAUUAUUUUUUACACGUGGCAAGCAAAAAAAAUUAAAAAAUAAAAAGAAAAAGCCAUGUAGGUGCCACAUCAUAGAUUCUGCUGAGUCACAGGGCUCAGGGGGCAAUCUUGAAGAAUCUUUAUUUUACAAGGACGAAAUCUAAAAAAAAAAAUUUACAGGGGGCAAAACCAAAAGUUCCCUAUAUUACAGGGGGGUAAAGACCUAUUAACCCUUGUUUUAACUAUCAUUUAUCUGAUCUAUUUUUCUUUCUAUAGAAUCUACAAAUCUCCAUUUUACUUGCUCAGACCACAUAAGUCAAGUUUCUGUCACCUUUUCUACGAUAGGUACAACUUCUACUCUUUCUUUAAUAUUAUCAUUUCUAAUUCUAUAAUUACGGGUCUUACCAUACAUUCAAUGUCUUCUCCCACGAGAAUGUGAUGAGUAACUUAAAUAAAUUAAGGUUGAAACGAUUAUUGCUCGAUUUUUUUCUAGUUGCACCCCAAAGUGACUAAAACAUCCUUAAUUCAUUUUUUGAAAUUUUCAAUCAUUUCCAUUUAUCUUACACGUUUUACGAUUAAAAUGUUGCAUUACAUCAAAAUAAGAGUACAUAUCAUGUACAAAUUGCUAAUUUUAGCAUUAGCAUGUUGCAUUAUAUCAAAAUAAGAAAUAUAUCAUGCAUAAGUAAGAAACAUAUCAUGCUGAGUAUUGGGUUAUAUUGAGAUUGAGUUUCUUAUGUUGCAGUUCGGUUUGGUUCGGUUGUUCAAAUAAAAACAGCAAACCGAACCGCUCGGUUGAAUCCCCAUGAGGUUAUCUCAAUUAGCAUGGGCAUUUGCAUUAUGUAUGCAGAGGUCGGAGGUUCGAAUCUCAGACACCCGAUUUAUUCACCUGAAGUAGUGUGAAUUUUUAGCCGUUAGACUACUUGAAAAAAAAAAAAACGUUUUUUUAGAGGAUUUAAGUUUCUGAAUGUGUAGCCUAAUGGUAUAAUGGGUUAUGACACUGAAAUAGUAUGAAGAAUGAGGUUGGCGUUUAAUUUGCCCCGUAACAGACUAAAAUUUGUAUUUUUUUUGUUAAAAGAAAUUGGAAUGAUUUACAAUUAGUUCAUUAUUACACAAUACACAGGCGUUUGCUAUGGAGUGCUUGGCAAUAAUCUACCAUCAAAGCAAGAAGUUGUAGAUUUAUAUAAAUCAAAAGGCAUUGGCAAAAUGCGUAUAUACUACCCAGAUCAAGAAGUCCUACAAGCCCUUAGAGGUUCUAACAUUGAAUUGAUCCUUGGUGUGACCAAGGAAACCCUUUCCUCUCUUACAGAUGCCGGUGAAGCUACAAAUUGGGUCCAAAAGUAUGUGACACCCUAUGCUCAAGAUGUAAAAAUCAAGUACAUCACUGUUGGAAAUGAAAUUAAACCUAAUGACAAUGAAGCCCAAUACAUUGCCACUGCCAUGCAGAACAUUCAAAAUGCAAUUUCAUCUGCAAAUUUACAAGGCCAAAUCAAGGUCUCAACAGCAAUUGACAUGACUUUGAUUGGUAAUUCAUAUCCACCCAAUGCUGGAGUUUUCACUGAUCAAGCAAAUUCUUAUAUACAACCAAUAAUUAACUUCCUGGUGAAGAAUGGAGCACCACUUCUUGCCAAUGUGUAUCCGUACUUCGCUUAUAUUGGUAAUAAACAAAGCAUUUCUCUUGACUAUGUUCUUUUUAAACAACAAGGAAACAAUGAAGUUGGGUACAACAACAUCUUUGAUGCCAUGUUAGAUUCAGUAUACGCUGCUCUUGAGAAAGUUGGAGGUUCCAAUGUGAAGAUAGUUGUGUCCGAGAGUGGAUGGCCGUCUAAAGGAGGAGAUAGUGCCUCAAUUGACAAUGCUGCCACAUAUUAUUCUAAUUUGAUCAAUCACAUCAAGAAUGGUACUCCUAAGAGGCCCGGUGCUGCUAUUGAAACUUAUUUGUUUGCCAUGUUUGAUGAAAAUCAGAAGACUGGUGCAAC